rnacentral:rRNA from 1 species
GACGAACGCUGGCGGCGUGCUUAACACAUGCAAGUCGAACGAAGAGCGAUGGAAGCUUGCUUCUAUCAAUCUUAGUGGCGAACGGGUGAGUAACGCGUAAUCAACCUGCCCUUCAGAGGGGGACAACAGUUGGAAACGACUGCUAAUACCGCAUACGAUCUAACCUCGGCAUCGAGGAUAGAUGAAAGGUGGCCUCUACAUGUAAGCUAUCACUGAAGGAGGGGAUUGCGUAUGAUUAGCUAGUUGGAGGGGUAACGGCCCACCAAGGCGAUGAUCAGUAGCCGGUCUGAGAGGAUGAACGGCCACAUUGGGACUGAGACACGGCCCAGACUCCUACGGGAGGCAGCAGUGGGGAAUCUUCCGCAAUGGACGAAAGUCUGACGGAGCAACGCCGCGUGAGUGAUGACGGCCUUCGGGUUGUAAAGCUCUGUUAAUCGGGACGAAAGGCCUUCUUGCGAAUAGUGAGAAGGAUUGACGGUACCGGAAUAGAAAGCCACGGCUAACUACGUG